UACGUAGGGGGCAAGCGUUAUCCGGAUUCAUUGGGCGUAAAGAGCGCGUAGGCGGCUUGUUAAGUCAGGCGUGAAAUCUGGGGGCUCAACCCGCAGCUUGCGUCUGAAACUGGCAGGCUUGAGUCUGGUAGAGGAAAGUGGAAUUCCUAGUGUAGCGGUGGAAUGCGCAGAUAUUAGGAGGAACACCAGUGGCGAAGGCGGCUUUCUGGGCCACGACUGACGCUGAGGCGCGAAAGCUAGGGGAGCAAACAGG
rnacentral:rRNA from 1 species